GUUAAGUGAUGCAUUCAAUGUACAUCCCACUGGGUGUGAUAUUGCCCUUAUCAUGAAUGUCUCCCCCAGAUUCCAGCACCAUCUUGUAACACAAGGUAGUCAGUCGAUGGAGGGGGUGACUCCCAGGGGGCCAUUUUGAGUAGUCACUGAAUAAUACUGAUCAUGAUUACAUAGAGUAAAUAGGCAUUUUACUAAACUAUUAUUUUGUCCACAACAGUCCCCCCUUAAAAUGACUAUUUACUAACAACUACAGUAAACAUCCAGAAAUCUGGGCUACAUUACCAGUUGGACCUGUGUUAGCUGAGAUGAAGGUAAAACAUGUCAUGGUGUCAGGGAGUGUUUUACACACUCCCCCUUUCUCUGUCAAGAUCAUAUCUAGGGCCUUAUUCUGAAAAGUCAUGUGGCUUGUAAGUGCUCAGCCAGCCCUUGAAGGGCAUCUCCAGUAUAAUUAACAAAGCACUGUUGGUUGUAAUAGAUACAAUUAAUACAAAUCAAAUUAUUAUUAGUAGUGAUGGUUGGGGGAAUAUAUUCAAACUUCGUCUUUUACUUUGAAAUCAUUUGGUUCCCCCCCCUUGGCACACCUAUGGCAUAUAUAUAUGUGUGUGUCAAAAUUGCUCUUUACAGGGGUGUUCCUUUAAUCCUGAAGCAUGAAUGUGGUGUGUCAAGAGUACCUUGGUUAUUGUCAUGUAUUAUGUGUAUGGACAUAAUAACCUUGGCUAGGGCACAUUUACUUAUUCUUUAUUGUAUACAUUUUGUCCCAUGCUAACUCAUGUGGACUCAGAUUAUUUAUUCAAUAUUAAUAUCACCACAAGAUUAAGAUGAACAGAUGAUCCUAAAGAAGCUUCGACCGUGCGUAGGCACCUCAGCUUCCGGACGUGAGGGCUGCAGGGUAAGGAGUACGUCUGAUUCUCUUUAGCUUCACAAGGUCUCCUUUUGGGGGUCCUCGGCUUUCUAUCGAUGUCAGGUGGUCAGGCAUUAUUAUGGACGUCAAAACACCUACUUGUUGAUACUUUCUCCAACAAGUAACUUUACUUUCUUAAAAUGGAGAGUCAAAGGGUUGUCAAGAUCAACAAACGUUACCUCCCAUGGAGCAGGGACAGACUUGAUUCUGGAAUGGUGAAU